rnacentral:tRNA from 1 species
GGAGAGGUGCCAGAGUGGUAAUGGAGCAGAUUGCUAAUCUGUCAUCGUGUAAGCGAUGCCGGGGUUCGAAUCCCCGUCUCUCCG